GCCUGGCUGGUUCAGUUGGUAGAGCAGGAGACUCUUGAUCUCAGGAUCAUGAGUUCAAGCCCGGUGUUGGGCA
rnacentral:tRNA from 1 species